rnacentral:rRNA from 1 species
CUGGGCUUGACAUCCCCACGGAGAGGAGGUAAUGCCCCUGGCCCUUCGGGGCGUGGGAGACAGGUGGUGCAUGGUUGUCGUCAGCUCGUGUCGUGAGAUGUUGGGUUAAGUCCCGCAACGAGCGCAACCCUUACCCUUAGUAGCCAGCGGAAGAGCCGGGCACUCUAGGGGGACAGCCUGGGAUAACCAGGAGGAAGGCGGGGAUGACGUCAAAUCAUCAUGCCCCUUAUGUUCAGGGCUACACACGGGCUACAAGGGGGGGGACAGAGGGAAGGGAGACAGCGAUGUUGAGGGAAGCCCAAAAAAGCGGUCCCAGUUCGGAUGGCAGCCGGCAACUGGGCGGCAGGAAGCGGGAAUCGCUGGUAAUCGGGGAUCAGAAUGCCGCGGGGAAUAGGUUCCC